GCCUGGGGGGCUCAGUCAGUUAAGCGUCUGACUUUGGCUCAGGUCAUGAUCUCGCAGUUUGCGGGUUCGAGCCCCGCGUCGGGCU
rfam:Felis catus isolate Cinnamon breed Abyssinian chromosome A1, whole genome shotgun sequence.